rnacentral:lncRNA from 1 species
CAAAUAACACAUCUUUAGAAAAGGUAAGACUGUUGACUAUAGAACAAGAACCACCAAUUCCACCCACAUUCUGAAAACUGCUCACAGAUCAGAGAUAGAAGUCCAACAAAAAUAGGCUGGAAAAGACUAGUCAGAAAAGGAAACAGACCAGGUACUUGUUGGUACCCAAGAAAUGUUUGUUGGGAAGAACUAAGCACAAAACACAGAAAAGGCUGGCAGAAAAAUGGUGCUCCAAGAGACACAGUUGUAUACAAGCUUUGUAAUAUGCACACAGUUUUGAAAACCACCUAAAUUCUCAAUUCCUAUUUUUCACCAGUUUUAUCAUGGCAAGUAAUAUUUCCACCAUUAUAUUUUAUAGGGCUCUGUGGUGGUUAAGACAAGAUGGAAUACUGUUAUGUAAAAAUAUCAAAAUAUGCAAUUUGUUAAGUAAAUGAAACAAAGAAAAGAAAGUAAUGUCCUGCACAAAGGGUAUAUUAAGUUAUCGAGAAAAUAAAAGUGGAUAAUAAAAU